rnacentral:rRNA from 1 species
CCCGCUCAGAAACUCAAAUGAAUUGACGGGGCCCGCACAAGCGGAGGAGCAUGUGGUUUAAUUCGAUGAUACGCGAGGAACUUACCUGGGCUCGAACGUAAGAUGACUGUAGGUGAAAGCUUACAUCUCUUCGGAGCAUUUUACGAGGUGCUGCAUGGUUGUCGUCAGCUCGUGCCGUGAGGUGUCGGGUUAAGUCCCAUAACGAGCGCAACCCCUACCUUUAGUUGCCAUCAGGUUAAGCUGGGGACUCUAAAGGAACUGCCUACGCAAGUAGUGAGGAAGGCGGGGAUGACGUCAAAUCAGCACGGCCCUUACGUCCAGGGCUACACACGUGCUACAAUGGCCGAUACAGAGGGCAGCUACCUGGUGACAGGAUGCAAAUCUCCAAAGUCGGUCUCAGUUCGGAUCGGAGUCUGCAACCCGACUCCGUGAAGUUGGAUUCGCUAGUAAUCGCGCAUCAGCCAUGGCGCGGUGAAUACGUUCCCGGGCCUU